AUGGAAAAUUCCACACAUAAAUACUUAAUACAAACUUUGUACAGAGAGGAUCAGCAUGACCCCUGUGCAAGGAGGUCGUGCAAAUUCACAAAGUGUUUCAUAUUUUU
ensembl:snRNA RNU6-1191P RNA, U6 small nuclear 1191, pseudogene